CCUACGGGAGGCAGCAGUGGGGAAUAUUGCACAAUGGGGGAAACCCUGAUGCAGCGACGCCGCGUGAGUGAAGAAGUAUUUCGGUAUGUAAAGCGCUAUCAGCAGGGAAGAAAUAAAGUCCUUCGGACUUUGGACGGUACCUGACUAAGAAGCCCCGGCUAACUACGUGCCAGCAGCCGCGGUAAUACGUAGGGGGCAAGCGUUAUCCGGAUGUACUGGGUGUAAAGGGAGCGUAGACGGCAGCGCAAGUCUGGAGUGAAAUCCCAUGGCUUAACCAUGGAACUGCUUUGGAAACGGUGCAGCUGGAGUGCAGGAGAGGUAAGCGGAAGUCCUAGUGGAGCGGUGAAAUGCGUAGAUAUUAGGAGGAACACCAGUGGCGAAGGCGGCUUACUGGACUGUAACUGACGUUGAGGCUCGAAAGCGUGGGGAGCAAACAGGAGUAGAUACCCGGGUAGUC
rnacentral:rRNA from 1 species